rnacentral:rRNA from 1 species
AUUGAACGCUGGCGGCAGGCCUAACACAUGCAAGUCGAGCGGAUGAAGGGAGCUGGCUCCUGGAUUCAGCGGCGGACGGGUGAGUAAUGCCUAGGAAUCUGCCUGGUAGUGGGGGAUAACGUCCGGAAACGGGCGCUAAUACCGCAUACGUCCUGAGGGAAAAAGUGGGGGAUCUUCGGACCUCACGCUAUCAGAUGAGCCUAGGUCGGAUUAGCUAGUUGGUGGGGUAAAGGCCUACCAAGGCGACGAUCCGUAACUGGUCUGAGAGGAUGAUCAGUCACACUGGAACUGAGACACGGUCCAGACUCCUACGGGAGGCAGCAGUGGGGAAUAUUGGACAAUGGGCGAAAGCCUGAUCCAGCCAUGCCGCGUGUGUGAAGAAGGUCUUCGGAUUGUAAAGCACUUUAAGUUGGGAGGAAGGGCAGUAAGUUAAUACCUUGCUGUUUUGACGUUACCAAAAGAAUAAGCACCGGCUAACUUCGUG